rnacentral:rRNA from 1 species
GACGUAGGGCGCGAGCGUUGUCCGGAAUUAUUGGGCGUAAAGAGCUCGUAGGCGGUUUGUCGCGUCUGCUGUGAAAACCUAAGGCUCAACCUUGGGCUUGCAGUGGGUACGGGCAGACUAGAGUGCGGUAGGGGUGACUGGAAUUCCUGGUGUAGCGGUGGAAUGCGCAGAUAUCAGGAGGAACACCGAUGGCGAAGGCAGGUCACUGGGCCGCAACUGACGCUGAGGAGCGAAAGCAUGGGGGAGCGAACAGG